rnacentral:tRNA from 1 species
ACGAGUAUGCCGAAAUGGUAGCCGGGUGAAUUUUAGGUAUUCAUAAUUAUAAUUGAUUGUAAGAGUUCAAGUCUCUUUACUCGUA